rnacentral:rRNA from 1 species
GAUGAACGCUGGCGGCGUGCCUAACACAUGCAAGUCGAACGGAGUCGUUUUGGAAAUCUCUUCGGAGAUGGAAUUCUCGACUUAGUGGCGGACGGGUGAGUAACGCGUGAGCAAUCUGCCUUUAAGAGGGGGAUAACAGUCGGAAACGGCUGCUAAUACCGCAUAAAGCAUUAAAUUCGCAUGUUUUUGAUGCCAAAGGAGCAAUCCGCUUUUAGAUGAGCUCGCGUCUGAUUAGCUAGUUGGCGGGGUAACGGCCCACCAAGGCGACGAUCAGUAGCCGGACUGAGAGGUUGAACGGCCACAUGGGGACUGAGACACGGCCCAGACUCCUACGGGAGGCAGCAGUGGGGAAUAUUGCGCAAUGGGGGAAACCCUGACGCAGCAACGCCGCGUGAUGGAAGAAGGCCUUCGGGUUGUAAAGAUCUUUAAUCAGGGACGAAACAAAUGACGGUACCUGAAGAAUAAGCUCCGGCUAACUACGUG